AUUUUUUUCCAGCAAGGCCUACCAUUAAUCAAGUGUAGUAUCAGUUCUUACAAUUUCAUAUCAGAUAUGUCCUUUAUUUGAGGAUUGUAUAUUAAAUAUGUUUUUGUUGAUUCCUGCAUUGCACGGGGGGUGUUGGACCAGAU